AUCGAACAGUCAAAAGCUAAAGAUGAACAAAAGCUAAAACUUUUCCCCGUUGCACAACUACAAUCAUUAAAUCUUCGAACUUGCACGGAUCUUUAACACACUCAAAUUAUUCCAAAAUAGUGCGUUUGAUGCCAGAAUUUGAUUGGCUGUUACAAAAUACGACUGUAAUUGAAAUUAAACAAGGUGUAUUGCUUCAAUAACUUUUUGGAGUCGCCGUGUUACAGAAUCCACUAAAUUUUGAAGGAUCUCCGGAGAUACCGCUAGUCAAAAGGAAUUGAGCUCAGAAAUUGUAUAUUCUCUCGUUUUGUUGAACGAAAGUGUUCUUUUGCGUUUUAAAAGAAACCAGACGUUUUCAAUAAUAUUCAAAUCUGGACUUUAUGGAGGCCAGUUCAAGGUGGUAACACCAACAUCCCUGGGGUGGCAUUAUCUUGUUGCAGGACUAAUGACUGUCCGAUCAUCCUAUUACCGGAGGGGAAUGCCUUCGCAUGUAGGGUGUAUAAAUAUUUUCCCUGGUUCAUUGAGCCGGUGAUAGGAAUAAAGUGUCCUAGCCCACUGUAUGCAACACAACCCCGAAACAUGACAAAGCCUCCGCCAUGGCUCACUUUUUUACAACCCGUUUAUUUUUUCUUUACUUUGUGGGCAUUCUUAUGAAAACUUUAGUAUAUACUUCUAUAUAUUAUCAAGUCAACAAAUAUUAAAUUAUAUUAUUAUAAACUGUUUCAGAUUUUAUGAAACACGUGACCUUGUUUUUGAUUCGGCGCACUAGCCCACUAGUUGUUUUUAAAUUAAAUCAAUAGACCUACUCAUACAAAAAUAUUUUCUCUGAUUGUUUACCAAAAAAACAAAACCAUCAAACAUUACUUUUAAACACAAAUUUGUUAAUGUAUAUGUACAAAACUGUUUAUUUAUAUAUGUAUGUAUGCAAUAAGAACAGUGAUUUUACAGAUGAAUACCCUGUAUAAUAAUUUAUUUGUAAUUAUGUACCUAUUACGAGAUUUUGUCAAAUCAUGUGAAUAUACAUUCUAUAAGCUUGUACAUACCUGAGUUUUUAAUAGAUUUCACAGAUAUAAUUUAGUAUUAAAUAAACACUCCUUUCUCCUCCGAAGUAACAAAAUACGGAUGUAAGCAACUACCGGACAUACAACUAAGUUCUUGGAUUCCUCGCUUUUUUUCUUCAGCUAAAGAGCUUUUGCGCGCGCAGGUCUUGGACGCAAUUCACAUAAAACAUUCCUCAAGCUUUUGAUAAAGCUUUAAGGUAUACUAAAUACCCGCAAGUUUGGUGAAUAUGCUUCGAAGACUGCAGAGCUGUCACUGGAAAAAUAUCCUGAGAAGCAGCUACCUCCUCCUUAAAUUCUGGCACAUGGUCAAACUUUAAUUAAAAUCAGAGCCUACCAAUUGGAAAGAUGUCAGAGAAAGCAAAGGAAUCGAGAAAAAAAUAUCACAAAAAUAUACAGGAAUAUGAAUAUGUGCAAGACAUCACGAAUUAAGCAAAACCAAGAUCUUUUUACCAUGUUGGCAGUCCCUUCAGAUCCAUAUAUAUUUCAUCCAUUAGACAUCUGAAUUCACAAAAUAAAUUGGCAAGCAGUUAUUCUUGG